GGGGAUUUGGCUCAGUGGUAGAGCGCUUGCCUAGAUAGCGCAAGGCCCUGGGUUCGGUCCCCAGCUCCA
rnacentral:tRNA from 1 species